GACGAACGCUGGCGGCGUGCUUAACACAUGCAAGUCGAGCGGUAAGGGCCCUUUCGGGGGUACACGAGCGGCGAACGGGUGAGUAACACGUGGGUGACCUGCCCUCAGCUCUGGGAUAAGCCUGGGAAACCGGGUCUAAUACUGGAUAUGACUCCAUGACGCAUGUUGUGGGGUGGAAAGCCUUGUGCGGCUGAGGAUGGGCCCGCGGCCUAUCAGCUUGUUGGUGGGGUGANGGCCUACCAAGGCGACGACGGGUAGCCGGCCUGAGAGGGCGACCGGCCACACUGGGACUGAGACACGGCCCAGACUCCUACGGGAGGCAGCAGUGGGGAAUCUUGCGCAAUGGGCGAAAGCCUGACGCAGCGACGCCGCGUGAGGGAUGACGGCCU
rnacentral:rRNA from 1 species